rnacentral:lncRNA from 1 species
UCGUGGCCACCACCUGGCCAGGAAACCCCUGUCUGGGGAAUUGCUUCCCAAAGCCGAUGCAAGAGGAUGAGAGAGGGGAGCUGUGGAUGAUACCCUAAUGGAAAGACUAUGGGUGGGGCCUGAUGGAGAUGUUUCCAGAGAGGGCUGGCUCUAUGGUCGCAGGCGCUUUUGAGAUCUCCCUCUUUGUGGCUCAAAAAAUGCACAGGUUUUCCAGGAAACCUUAUGGAUCGGGACCACUUUCUUUAUGAUGUGGUUCUUUCUGUUGUUUUUGAGACUGAGAAGUUGCAAAUGGAGCAAGGAAUGCCAGGGGCUCACCCUUCACUUCCUGGAAAGAUC